UGACCACCCAUGUUGGGUUAAAGGCCAUACGGACAGCCGGGUCAACUGCCGA
rnacentral:sRNA from 1 species